UACAGAGGGUGCAAGCGUUAAUCGGAAUUACUGGGCGUAAAGCGCACGUAGGCGGACAUUUAAGUCAGGGGUGAAAUCCCAGAGCUCAACUCUGGAACUGCCUUUGAUACUGGGUGUCUUGAGUAUGGAAGAGGUGAGUGGAAUUCCUGGUGUAGCGGUGGAAUGCGCAGAUAAUCAGGAGGAACACCGAUGGCGAAGGCAGGUCUCUGGGC
rnacentral:rRNA from 1 species